UUUUUGCAUUAUAUUUUAAUUUUUUUUUUAAAGUUUGCACUAUAUAUAUUUAUUUAUUUAUUUAUAGUGUGGUAUAUUCUAUAGUUUAGGAGUGUAACUCAUUAAGUGAUUAAAUGGUAUAAUUUUAAAAUUAAUAAAUUAAACUUUGAGAUAUCAAAAAAUAAUGAAUAAAACUAUAAGAUCAUAUUGAACCUCAAACACAGAAUCAUUUUACUUAAAUGAGUUAAUAUUUUGAUUUAAAAGAAAUAUUAAGAUUUAAUUUGUUACUUUUUAAAAUUUAAUUUGCUAUAUCCCAUAAACUAUAUAAUUUAAAAUGUAUUUUCCUAAAAAAAAAAAAAAUUAUCUUUAUCUCAGGCCUAAGGAAAUUAUGCUUAAUUAUGAACUAUGAUACUUGACACAAAAAAAAAAAAAAAAAAAAAACUAGUUAAUCAUUCAUUGUUUCACAUUUCAUACUUGUAAAUUCAAGAGACGAUUGUAUGUCUUCUUUAAUGUUUAUAUAAAAUUUAACUUUAAUUUUUCAACCUAGUUUAAAAUAAUUUGUUAUACCAAGUAAAUAAAUCAUUUAUGUAAUAUUAAAUAUUUUUUAAAUUAUGUUUUUAAGACACUCCUUAAAGACUUUUUUUUUAAAGUCAAAUUAAACAGAAAUAUUAAAAAAAAUGAAAAAGCAAGUGCAGUUUUACCUUUUAAAGAACAUCAACAUGUUAGUAAUACAAAAAUUUUUUACAAAUUUUUUUUAUAUGAAUAGUAUCAAUAAUAGGUCUAUAAAAUUUAAAAAUGAUGUUAUUUUAAUUAUAAAUUGAAACAUUAAUAAAUUUUUGAAAAAAAGUUAAAAAUAAGAAAAACAUAAGUUACAAGCCAUUAAUUAAUCCUUUCAAUAUUCCAACGAGAAGUGGAUCCAAUACUCAGUUACUCACCCUAUUUUUCAAUAGAGUGUACUACUGUAUGUAGUGUAUGAUUGGUGAUUGACUGAUUGGCAUUGUUUGUGGCGGGUGAAUAUGGGCCGUUAGAUGGGUGGACCGUGGAAUUGUGGGAUUUAGCUGGAGCGUGAUGUGGGGUCUUACAUGAUAAUUGGGCGUAGAAUCUUAACUGGCAAGUUGCGUUUGGGGUGGGGCCCACUCAUUUAUUUGGUGUAGCAAUUAGGCUGUGGCCUGUGGGGUAGUGUCCCCUGCCCACUGGUUGCUUUGCUUUGUUGGACUAUAAUUAUUAAAAAACAGAGAGUGAAAAAUCGGGUGUAGUCCCAUGGACCACACGGCACCAGUCUCCAAUCUCAUUCCUAAGUUCGGAUGGUACUGGACUGGACCACCAUGUCUGCUUUUAAUUUGAGACCUUUUUCAGAUUGUCAUUGUCAUUUGCCAGGUAUCAGCUGAUUUUCUAAUGAGUUGUGUGGCUAACCUUAUUGUUUCUGUACACUGGAUUUGACAACGACAAUUCACGUGUCGGUUUGGUGUCAUGUUCAAUGUAUAGGAGCAUUGGAAGUUUCGCCCUUUUCUAAUUUCAUUAGCUUCUAAGGCAUUAAUUUUGGUUGCACCUUGCAUCUUUAGCUGUGUGUUUCCCUAGCUAACUUUUGGAUUAUUGAUAUACAUCACUAAUAAGUGUAAGAGUCACGUCACAUGUCAUAUCUCUCGAACAAAGUUGUAUUAUAAAGAGGUGUUGGACCAUAUAAUAAUUAAUAAUUACUUUUUAACUCAACAAUGGUGACAAAUAUUAGGUUGGUAUAAAUAUUGAUAAAGUCUUUUAUCUCUUACAUAAAUAAGUUAAAACCCUACCUUUCAAAAAAAAAAAAAAAAAUGCUCAAUUUCAUUACCGUGACCUUUGCCAUUUGUUUAUUGAAAUGAAGUAUUUUGGUAGCAAUAUAUUUUGACAAUAUAUUAUUAUAUAUAAAGCUUCAAUAUUCAUUUAAAUUGUUGUUAUAUAAUACGAUAGAUUCAUAAUGUCUCGUUUUAAAAUUAGAUAUUACACAUUUUUAAUAUUAUUGUUAAGAGUUUGGGUAAGAUUUUCUUCUAAAAAAUAACCCUUAAUAUAAAAGAUAUAAAAAUUAGUGUUAUGAACUCGUUCCAAGAACCUUCCAUUAUAUGUUGUAACAAAAGAAACAAGUUCAAAUAGUUUGUUUUGUAGACAACAUUAUCCAUAUUUCCAUGCAUACUUUUUUUUUUUUUUUGGCUGAAUACAUGCAUAUGUACUUAACAAACCAUCCCAAAUCAACUCAUUACUAGGGGAAAAAAAACAAACUCCCAAUGGUAAUUUCUUUCCAUUCACCACCUCUAUCUCUCUCUCCACAAACCGACUUUUGUUGACUCUCUUACUUUUUUUACUCCUUCCAAACGGCUUUUAUGCUCAAACCAGGCAUAUUUUCACUUAAUUUUUCAAGUGGAUUCUGAAUUUGGGCUUUCAAAUGACAUAAAAAUAGAAAAUGUUUCUUAUUUGGGGUAUGUUUUUUUGAAUGAAUAUUUUGUUCAUAACUAUUUAAAAUUGUAAGGAACAUUAAGACGGUUUUUUGACUCAUUUUAUGAUUGAAACCAAACAAGAAAUAUUUCGGUUGUUUCAUUCAUAAAUGAAUAGAAAUUGUAACUAUGGUGCCAUUAGGAUUUAGGACCACCAUUCUCUUACCCAUGUUUUUUUUUCAAGAACAAAGAAAUAGAGAAAAAAAAGGAAAAGGAUAAUCAGGUACGAGUACUUGUUAAUAACACUUGCUUACAGAAAGAGUGGCUGAA